rnacentral:lncRNA from 1 species
CACCUAUUUAUAUCCACAACUUGUUAGGUUGGAAAUAUGUUAGUACACAAAUGAUGAGUUAUAUAUUUCCCAAUGCAAAAAAGCAAUAAUCAUGAAAUGAGUAAAUGGAACAUGAAUUGUUAUCAUGCACUUAAUUUGCACAGAGUGUGUUAUACUAAUGGUACCUAUGAGUUUAUGCAGUAAUGGCAUGGAAAGAAAGAUCAACACAUGAACACAUGUUCUUCUGUGUUUG